GACGAACGCUGGCGGCGUGCCUAAUACAUGCAAGUAGGACGCAGUUGCGAACGGGUGAGUAACGCGUAGGUAACUGCCUAUUAGAGGGGGAUAACUAUUGGAAACGAUAGCUAAUACCGCAUACUAGUAGAUGGACCUGCGUUGUAUUAGCUAGUAGGUAGGGUAAUGGCCUACCUAGGCGACGAUACAUAGCCGACCUGAGAGGGUGAUCGGCCCCACUGGGACUGAGGACAGGCUCAGACUCCUACGGGAGGCAGCAGUAGGGAAUCUUCGGCAAUGGGGGGAACCCUGACCGAGACACGCCGUGUGAGUGAAGGAGGUUUUCGGAGCGUAAAGCUCUGUUGUUAAGGAAGCGGUACUUAACCAGAAAGGGACGGCUAACUACGUGCCAGCAGCCGCGGUAAUUC
rnacentral:rRNA from 1 species